AUACGGGAGGCAGCAGUGGGGAAUCUUGCGCAAUGGGCGAAAGCCUGACGCAGCAACGCCGCGUGCGGGAAGAAGGCCUUCGGGUUGUAAACCGCUUUCAGAAGGAACGAAAAUGACGGUACUUUCAGAAGAAGGUGCGGCCAACUACGUGCCAGCAGCCGCGGUGACACGUAGGCACCAAGCGUUGUCCGGAUUUAUUGGGCGUAAAGAGCUCGUAGGCGGUUCAGUAAGUCAGGUGUGAAAACUUUGGGCUCAACCCAAAGCCUGCAUCUGAUACUGCUGUGACUUGAGUUCGGUAGGGGAGUGGGGAAUUCCUAGUGUAGCGGUGAAAUGCGCAGAUAUUAGGAGGAACACCGGUGGCGAAGGCGCCACUCUGGGCCGAAACUGACGCUGAGGAGCGAAAGCGUGGGUAGCAAACAGGAUUAGAUACCCGCGUAGUCCC
rnacentral:rRNA from 1 species